AACCCGGUCUAGUUAAGCAUUAUACCGUGCCACUGCGAAUGGCUCAUUAAAUCAGUUAUCGCUUAUUUGAUAGUACCUUACUACUUGGAUAACCGUGGUAAUUCUAGAGCUAAUACAUGCUUACAACCUCGACUUCGGAAGGGGUGUAUUUAUUAGAUAAAAAACCAACGCCCUUCGGGGCUUCUUGGUGAUUCAUGAUAACUUUACGGAUCGCAUGGCCUUGCGCCGGCGACGGUUCAUUCAAAUUUCUGCCCUAUCAACUUUCGAUGGUAAGGUAUUGGCUUACCAUGGUUUCAACGGGUAACGGGGAAUUAGGGUUCGAUUCCGGAGAGGGAGCCUGAGAAACGGCUACCACAUCCAAGGAAGGCAGCAGGCGCGCAAAUUACCCAAUCCCAAUACGGGGAGGUAGUGACAAUAAAUACUGAUACAGGGCUCUUUUGGGUCUUGUAAUUGGAAUGAGUACAAUUUAAACCUCUUAACGAGGAACAAUUGGAGGGCAAGUCUGGUGCCAGCAGCCGCGGUAAUUCCAGCUCCAAUAGCGUAUAUUAAAGUUGUUGCAGUUAAAAAGCUCGUAGUUGAACCUUGGGUCUGGCUGGCAGGUCCGCCUCACCGCGUGUACUUGUCCGGCCGGGCCUUCCUUCUGGAGAACCUCAUGCCCUUCACUGGGCGUGUUGGGGACCAGGACUUUUACUUUGAAAAAAUUAGAGUGUUCAAAGCAGGCCUUUGCUCGAAUACGUUAGCAUGGAAUAAUAGAAUAGGACGUGCGGUCCUAUUUUGUUGGUUUCUAGGACCGCCGUAAUGAUUAAUAGGGACAGUCGGGGGCAUCAGUAUUCAAUUGUCAGAGGUGAAAUUCUUGGAUUUAUUGAAGACUAACUACUGCGAAAGCAUUUGCCAAGGAUGUUUUCAUUAAUCAGUGAACGAAAGUUAGGGGAUCGAAGGCGAUCAGAUACCGUCGUAGUCUUAACCGUAAACUAUGCCGACUAGGGAUCGGGCGAUGUUAUUUUUCUGACUCGCUCGGCACCUUACGAGAAAUCAAAGUGUUGGCUAUGGGGGGAGAGGCCCGG
rnacentral:rRNA from 1 species